CAUCAGUGAAAAGCAAACUCUAAGGCAAACCUGAUGAAUAUUAAAAUAAGAGGGAGAGUUGGAGGUGGGCGCAGCCUGUGGAAUCCUUUCCCCGAAGGUCUUCCAGGGCCUAGGCCUCGGCACCACGUGACUCGCGGUUCGGCCGGGUCUACAGCCCCGACAAUGCUGCAGCACCGCGCGCGCAGGCGCAGUGUCGGUCGGAAGCCACGGAAGCAAGCGUGUGCAGACUUGGAGGCACCCUUUGGUAAUCCACGUUCGCAGAAAAUGGUUUUUCAGAAAUUGUCCAGAGAGAUGAAGAUACACACUACAAUGAAGGUACUGACACUAAAGAUUAUUUGGGGGUG
rnacentral:lncRNA from 1 species